rnacentral:rRNA from 1 species
AUGGACUUCACCCAAUGCAAGUCGUCUCUCGGCGACCCCUUUACGGAGAAGGAGGUCACUGAUGCCAUUGCUCAGCUCCCAAAGGACAAGGCGCCCGGCCCCGAUGGCUUCUCCGUGGCUUUUUUUAAAAGCUGCUGGGACACCAUCAGGGGAGAUGUCAUGGCUGCGAUUAAUAAUUUUUCGGACCUGCGUGCGGAGCACUUCCACUGGGUCAAUUCAACCAACAUUGUGCUUCUUCCCAAGAAAAAGGGCGCCGAGAGGAUCUCAGAUUUUCGGCCUAUUAGCCUCAUCCACGCGAUCACCAAAAUUGUGGCCGAGAUGAUGGCCUCGCGGCUCGCGCCCGUUAUGCACCUGCUUGUCAUUAGGUCCCAGAGCACCUUCAUCAAGACGCGGAGCAUCCAUGACAACUUUCUUUACGUUCGGAAUUUGGCGCGCAGGCUGCACCGUUUGAAAAAGCCCUCCCUUCUCUUCAAGCUAGACAUCAAGAAAGCUUUUGAUUCCAUCCGCUGGGAUUAUCUGCUUGACCUCCUUUGCUGUCGUGGUUUUCCGGUGAGGUUUAGAGACAUGAUUGCUGGCUUGUUGAGAACGUCGACCUCUAGAGUUUCACUCAACGGGGUUCUAGGGGAUCCCAUCCAGCACCAUAUUGGUAUCCGUCAGGGAGACCCCCUCUCCCCGCUGUUGUUUGUGCUUGCCAUAGACCCACUGCAGAACCUUCUAGACAUUGCCACAUGCAAGAACCAGCUGCACCCGGUGGGCGGCCGGGCAGCUUGCCUCUGCACCUCACGUUACGCCGACGACGUGGCCAUUUUUGUGGCUCCUAUUCGUGAGGACAUCAUGCGCUUGACAGCCAUCCUGCAUGGAUUUGGGGAGGUUACGGGGCUCGUUACCAAUUUGGAGAAGACUCUUGUGGCUCCCAUUCGUUGUGCUGGCAUCGAUCUCGACGCGGUGCUUGACAGCUUCCCGGUUAAGCAGGCCACUUUCCCCAUGAAGUACCUCGGGCCACCAGCUCCGAAGGAUUGA